UACGUAGGGCGCAAGCGUUGUCCGGAAUUAUUGGGCGUAAAGAGCUCGUAGGCGGUUUGUCGCGUCUGUCGUGAAAGCCCACGGCUUAACCGUGGGUCUGCGGUGGAUACGGGCAGACUAGAGGCAGGUAGGGGAGAAUGGAAUUCCCGGUGUAGCGGUGAAAUGCGCAGAUAUCGGGAGGAACACCGGUGGCGAAGGCGGAUCUCUGGGCCGAUACUGACGCUGAGGAGCGAAAGCGUGGGGAGCGAACAGG
rnacentral:rRNA from 1 species